AAACAUCCAAUAGACGAGUAUGUGAGAGAUUUGUAUGAUGUAAAUU
rnacentral:guide_RNA from 1 species